UACGUAGGGGCCGAGCGUUGUCCGGAGUUAUUGGGCGUAAAGCGCGCGCAGGCGGCCUCGCGCGCCCGACGUGAAAGCCCCCGGCUUAACCGGGGAGGGUCGUUGGGGACGGCGGGGCUUGAGGGCGGGAGAGGUCGGUGGAAUUCCCGGUGUAGUGGUGAAAUGCGUAGAGAUCGGGAGGAACACCUGUGGCGAAAGCGGCUCUCUGGAACGGUACUGACGCUGAGACGCGAAAGCGUGGGGAGCGAACAGG
rnacentral:rRNA from 1 species